ACCAGCAGCUAAAUCACCCUGCAACUCACAGCUGGCAGCCCACUGCAGCUCAGCAGGAGUGACCCUGACCAGUACCUGGAUGGGAGACCUCCUGGGAAAACUAAGGUUGCUGCUGGAA
rnacentral:rRNA from 1 species